GUGUGACACCCGCUGGGGAGGGGGUGGCCAGGAUGCUGGGAUCUUCCCCCCAGCAGGGCUGGUCUGUCUAGGAUCUGACCCCAGAUCCCCCCCAGGCACCUGACUCCUUGACUCUUCUCUACAGGUUUGUCCACCCGGAUGAGAUAGGCGGGCCCAGAGGCUGGUCUCCCCAAGGCGCAGACCCCGUCCCUGGAUAUGAAGAGUGACCCCCUCUUCCCCCGUCCCAUGCUGCAUAGCCGUAGCACUUAGCCUAGACCAGGCCCCCACGCUCUGAUCGCAGCCUGCAGAAUCUGAUCCAGCCAGCAGGGGGCAGUAGGGACACACACACCCAACAGGUCUGAUCCCCUCCAACAGCGGGCAGUAGGGACACACACAAACACACACACACACACAUUGCGCAGGGCUUGUCCCCUCCAGCAGGGGGCAGUAGGGACAUACACACACACGCAGCAGGUCUGAUCCCCUCCAACAGGGGGCAGUAGGGACACAUACACACAAACACACACGGCAGGUCUCAUCCCCUCCAACAGGGGGCCGCCGAGACACACACACACACACA